rnacentral:sRNA from 12 species
AAUCGGCGUACAACGAUGGGGACGUGUCCCCAAUGUCGUGCCGAGGGUGGCAAGCCACAGCAAAAGCAAUUCUUUCCAAUGUUGCAAGAAUUGGAAUGUUUUGGAAAGUAUUGGAAAGCUGAAAAAUCAAGUGUCGGGUAGAGUUUGGUAGGACGGAAACGUCUCGAAGAACUUAGGCCCG